rnacentral:rRNA from 1 species
UAGGGAAUCUUCGGCAAUGGGGGGAACCCUGACCGAGCAACGCCGCGUGAGUGAAGAAGGUUUUCGGAUCGUAAAGCUCUGUUGUUAAGGAAGAACGAGUGUGAGAAUGGAAAGUUCAUGCUGUGACGGUACUUAACCAGAAAGGGACGGCUAACUACGUGCCAGCAGCCGCGGUAAUACGUAGGUCCCGAGCGUUGUCCGGAUUUAUUGGGCGUAAAGCGAGCGCAGGCGGUUAGAAAAGUCUGAAGUGAAAGGCAGUGGCUCAACCAUUGUAGGCUUUGGAAACUGUUUAACUUGAGUGCAGAAGGGGAGAGUGGAAUUCCAUGUGUAGCGGUGAAAUGCGUAGAUAUAUGGAGGAACACCGGUGGCGAAAGCGGCUCUCUGGUCUGUAACUGACGCUGAGGCUCGAACGCGUGGGGAGCGAACAGG